UGCGGAGGGUGCGAGCGUUAUCCGGAUUCACUGGGUUUAAAGGGUGCGUAGGUGGGAAUGUAAGUCAGUGGUGAAAUCUCUGAGCUUAACUCAGAAACUGCCAUUGAUACUAUGUUUCUUGAAUUUUCUGGAGGUCAGCGGAAUAUGUCAUGUAGCGGUGAAAUGCUUAGAUAUGACAUAGAACACCAAUUGCGAAGGCAGCUGGCUACAGGGAUAUUGACACUGAGGCACGAAAGCGUGGGGAUCAAACAGG
rnacentral:rRNA from 1 species